AUUGAACGCUGGCGGCAGGCCUAACACAUGCAAGUCGAACGAGUGGCGGACGGGUGAGUAAUGUCUGGGAAACUGCCUGAUGGAGGGGGAUAACUACUGGAAACGGUAGCUAAUACCGCCUACCAUCGGAUGUGCCCAGCUGGGAUUAGCUAGUUGGUGGGGUAAAGGCUCACCUAGGCGACGAUCCCUAGCUGGUCGGAGAGGAUGACCAGCCACACGGGAACUGAGACACGGUCCAGACUCCUAGGGGAGGCGGCGGUGGGGAAGAUUGCACAAGGGGGGCAAGCCUACUGCAGCCAUGCCGCGUGUAUGAAGAAGGCCUUCGGGUGGUAAAGUACUUUCAGCGGGGAGGCGGUACCCGCAGAAGAAGCACCGGCUAACUCCGUGCCAGCAGCCGCGGUAAUUC
rnacentral:rRNA from 1 species